UUCUUGAGGAGGAUAUUCUCCCAUAUAUAUCAGUAACAAUACAAAUAUUUGUAUCCUUUCACCUAACAUUUAUAUGUAAUAUUCUAUACAGUUAAAUGAUUACACCUCCCCCACCCCACAUUUAGUGUACAUGUGUUCAUUGAAAAACUGGAAAUAUGGUUUUUGCAAUGGAAAUUAGUUAGAGUCAAAGAAAGAGAACUGAAGUCAAUUCUCACUUACCUUGAUCUGCCUCCUAACCCAGAGCUUGCCUAGUUGGAUGACAUUUCUAGGUGAAUAAUUUGAAAAGACUGGAGGAUGCAGGACGGGUUGGAUGGAAAAGCUAAAGUGAUGGUAAAAGGAAGAUGGACGAACUUAGAUUUUAAAGAGGUAGAAAUGAGUCAAGAGGGAGAUCUGAGUUCAGGAGGCAAAGGGGAGGGUUUGGCCUGGAAGAUUUGGUGGGAGGAGGUGAAAAGGUGGUAGUUACGAGAGGAGAAAAGUGGUGACAAAUAGAAAGACAGGAGUUUGUUGUCAGCAUGUGGGAUAUAAGAGUUUAAGAUUUUAGAAAUAAAGUCUUGCCAAAACCAAGACCAAAGGCAGGUACCCUGACUCAUUCAUAGAAUUUCUUUUCCUGGAAUGCCUCUGGCCUCUCUGAAGAGACCUAGUGCCAUAACUGAAGGCCAAACUUGUUAUAGGCUGGCACGAACAUUUGCCAGGGUAAUUUAUCCUCU
rnacentral:lncRNA from 1 species